UCAAAAACCCGACAGUACCGAGCAGGAGCGCUGGAUUUAAGACCAGCACACGGAAAGCUGACAUUAAAAAUCACAGGCUUAUGAUCAGAGAAUACGUUAUCACCGAUCUCAAUAUUCGACACAGACAAUCCAUAAGACAGAACCAGGUCUAACGUGUGUCCGUGUUCAUGUGUGGGACCCGACACACACUGAACCACAUUAAAAGAGGCAAUAAGACUUAGAAAGUCCUUCACCAGCCGCUUAUCGGGACAGCACACACGAAUAUUAAAAUGCACAAUAUUUCUCCUGUCUGGAUUAAAUUUCAGAAAUACAGUUUAGAUUUACUAAAUAUUCCAGGAAUUCUUGCUCUCAGUUUGACCAUAGAAAUGAACUUGUUGUUGAGGCAGUUUGUGUUUGAGUUUUUCUGCCUCGAGCUUCAUCACCAGUGAUGUUCAGGACUCAUUCUUGUAUUUUACACUCUCUGAUGUUUUCUUUUCUUCAUGUCUAGUGUGUGAAUCAUUUCUGGUUUGUCUCUUCAGUGUCUCAUGUGGCCCUGCAGCUUCUCCUCCUCCACCUCCUCCUGAAGCCUUCAUCUUCUUCAUCAUCAGCUGCUCAGUGACUCUGUUGGACGUCUCACCGUGUGGCAGCAGCUCAGGAGUUUGCAGUCAACCAAGGCCGACUCAGAAUCACUCCCACCGGGAAGAUCUGUGAAGGAAGGUCCACCCGGCUGGUCCAGAAGCUCCGGUCCAGCAGAGCAGCGUCAGGAUGGAGACGUAACCGGGUGAGUUAACUAGAGAGGCGACACAUUCACAUAGAAAAUCCAACAAUUCCUUCUGUUUUUACAGUUUGUGACUCUGGUAAAUGGUGUCAUUUUUCAAAGCUGGUGGGUUUUGGGCUUCACAGAUUGAACCUAAAUGCUUUUCUUAAACAAACUGCUGAGCUGCUGCACAGUGAAAUGUUUGAGUGGAGCUCAGGAUGAAAGCAUCAGAGCUGUUUUACAUGUUUUUAUGUUCAGCUAAUAUCAUUUCCUCUGGACAAUGUUUGUGGUGUUAGAAGUGGACGUUUGUAGGGAGUUUUCAGUUGUGAUACUUUAAUGCAUAAAUAUUUGCAGUGGUGGUUUCACUGCAAGCAUCUACUGAUGUCACCAGUGAAGUAAAUAAAAACAGCAUUUGUUGAACUUUA